GAUGAACGCUGGCGGCGUGCCUAAUACAUGCAAGUCGAGCGAACGGACGAGAAGCUUGCUUCUCUGAUGUUAGCGGCGGACGGGUGAGUAACACGUGGAUAACCUACCUAUAAGACUGGGAUAACUUCGGGAAACCGGAGCUAAUACCGGAUAAUAUUUUGAACCGCAUGGUUCAAAAGUGAAAGACGGUCUUGCUGUCACUUAUAGAUGGAUCCGCGCUGCAUUAGCUAGUUGGUAAGGUAACGGCUUACCAAGGCAACGAUGCAUAGCCGACCUGAGAGGGUGAUCGGCCACACUGGAACUGAGACACGGUCCAGACUCCUACGGGAGGCAGCAGUAGGGAAUCUUCCGCAAUGGGCGAAAGCCUGACGGAGCAACGCCGCGUGAGUGAUGAAGGUCUUCGGAUCGUAAAACUCUGUUAUUAGGGAAGAACAUAUGUGUAAGUAACUGUGCACAUCUUGACGGUACCUAAUCAGAAAGCCACGGCUAACUACGUGCCAGCAGCCGCGGUAAUACGUAGGUGGCAAGCGUUAUCCGGAAUUAUUUGGGCGUAAGCGCGCGUANGCGGUUUUUUAGUCUGAUGUGAAAGCCCACGGCUCAACCGUGGAGGGUCAUUGGAAACUGGAAAACUUGAGUGCAGAAGAGGAAAGUGGAAUUCCAUGUGUAGCGGUGAAAUGCGCAGAGAUAUGGAGGAACACCAGUGGCGAAGGCGACUUUCUGGUCUGUAACUGACGCUGAUGUGCGAAAGCGUGGGGAUCAAACAGGAUUAGAUACCCUGGUAGUCCACGCCGUAAACGAUGAGUGCUAAGUGUUAGGGGGUUUCCGCCCCUUAGUGCUGCAGCUAACGCAUUAAGCACUCCGCCUGGGGAGUACGACCGCAAGGUUGAAACUCAAAGGAAUUGACGGGGACCCGCACAAGCGGUGGAGCAUGUGGUUUAAUUCGAAGCAACGCGAAGAACCUUACCAAAUCUUGACAUCCUUUGACAACUCUAGAGAUAGAGCCUUCCCCUUCGGGGGACAAAGUGACAGGUGGUGCAUGGUUGUCGUCAGCUCGUGUCGUGAGAUGUUGGGUUAAGUCCCGCAACGAGCGCAACCCUUAAGCUUAGUUGCCAUCAUUAAGUUGGGCACUCUAAGUUGACUGCCGGUGACAAACCGGAGGAAGGUGGGGAUGACGUCAAAUCAUCAUGCCCCUUAUGAUUUGGGCUACACACGUGCUACAAUGGACAAUACAAAGGGCAGCGAAACCGCGAGGUCAAGCAAAUCCCAUAAAGUUGUUCUCAGUUCGGAUUGUAGUCUGCAACUCGACUACAUGAAGCUGGAAUCGCUAGUAAUCGUAGAUCAGCAUGCUACGGUGAAUACGUUCCCGGGUCU
rnacentral:rRNA from 1 species